rnacentral:rRNA from 1 species
CCCUUAGAUGUCCUGGGCCGCACGCGCGCUACACUGACAUGUUCAACAAGCCUCCUAGUUCGACAGGAUUUGGGAAAUCUUUGAACGCAUGUCGUGAUAGGGAUAGAUCAUUGCAAUUAUUGAUCUUGAACGAGGAAUUCCUAGUAAGCACAAGUCAUCAGCUUGUGUUGAUUACGUCCCUGCCCUUUGUACACACCGCCCGUCGCUCCUACCGAUUGAAUGUUCCGGUGAGCUCUUCGGACUGCGCGGUCUGCAGUUUCUGCGUUCCGUGCGGAAAGUUGCGCAAACCUUAACAUUUAGAGGAAGGAGAAGUCGUAACA